rfam:Gorilla gorilla gorilla genomic chromosome, chr22, whole genome shotgun sequence
GCUGGGUGUGGUGGUGUACACCUGUAAUCCCAGCUACUUGGGAGGCUGAGGCAGGAGAAUCACUUGAACCCGGGAGAUAAAAGUUGCAGUGAGCCGAGGUUGUGCCACCGCACUCCAGCCUGGGUGACAGAGUGAGACUCUGUCUCAA